UACGAAGGGGGCUAGCGUUGCUCGGAAUUACUGGGCGUAAAGGGCGCGUAGGCGGACAGUUUAGUCGGAGGUGAAAGCCCAGGGCUCAACCUUGGAAUAGCCUUUGAUACUGGCUGUCUUGAGUUCGGGAGAGGUGAGUGGAAUGCCGAGUGUAGAGGUGAAAUUCGUAGAUAUUCGGCGGAACACCAGUGGCGAAGGCGACUCACUGGCCCGAUACUGACGCUGAGGCGCGAAAGCGUGGGGAGCAAACAGG
rnacentral:rRNA from 1 species